AGUUGUGUUAAGGUAUGGAGGAUAAUGUGCUAGGCUUCCGUGUAGCAGCUCUAUUCAGACGCAUUCUCUUUUUCAAGUCUGUGUGUGUGGAAAAUUAAAUGCGUGCAAGCUUUACUUAAUGAAUUUUGGAAAAACUCAGCCUCAUCUCUUAAAACCACUGAGGAUUAAACAGCAUAGCUGUCUUGGAUAAACUCAGGAUUACUUUGCAUCUGUUUGACUGACUGAUUCUUAGGAGAUCUUAAGUCUGACUCUAUAUGCAAGACUGCCAAACUUAAACACAGUAUUACUGAUUUGCUGGCCUUAUAGCACACUUCACAUUUUAUGACAUUUAACUUGGGUGGCUCAAUCUGUGUUGGUUGUUUUUACAACUGGAGCUUUGGGUUGAUGCCCUUUAAAGGCUGGGCUCUUCAGAUAAACCCUCUUACGUUUGUGGCCUGAAAAAGAUUUUCUUUAUUUCCGUUUAGUAGAGUUGACAGUGAAGAGCUGACAUGUCUCGUUAAACAUGUCAGCUCUUCACUGUCAAGUCUACUUAUGUUAGAUUUUUUUGUCUAACAUAAGUAGACAAAAAAGUCUGUUAGACUUUUGACAAAAAUAGACUGGCAAAACUAAGUAUAAGAGAGUUGAGGCAGAAGUUCACAUCGACCCAUCAUGUCAUUUUAGGUUUUAGUGGUUUAUUUCAACCGUUCUUAUUUAUAGUGUAAAGAUUAUGUAUCACACAACUCCAAUGAAUUUUAAAGCAAAAGUGUGUUUGAAUUUCAAAUUAUUUCUGGAUUUUCUCUGCAUAACAUUGGGAGCCUGUCAAUGUUAUGCACAGGCUCCAGUACUAAAUAAAUACCGUACUCCUCCACUAAUAUUGGAUAAAUGUUCCUAAGCAGGCCGCACCAAAAACACAUUUUUAUUGAAAUCAUCAAACUUCAAGUUCUGGCAAUAUUCUUCAGAAAUGGUCAAGCUCAAUAAAAUUGGUUGUUUUUGUAUUUUUACCAAACCAACUUCUGAGCAUUGUCCAGAAAUUUUCAGUAAGGUUGAGUUCAAGGCCAUUCCAGACUUAAAGAGUAACUAAAUCCCAAAUCCAUUAUUUAUAGUAGACUAUUAAGUAGUAGUAGAGUGGACCUGGGACCAUUAGAGCCAGUGGAAAAGGGGCAUAAAUGUGUCCUUAAGAUUCUAUCUCUAUGUUUCUCUGCAAAUGCUGACAUUUUCUCAGAAAUUUGUUGAGUUCUGCAAUAUUUUGCCUAAAACCAUCUCAGUGCUUCCCUCUUUGGGCUGAACAGUGACUACUUUAUGCAAUGCACCAGCAAAACAUCCUUUCAGCCACGACAUAACUUGACAUUUUCCGUAGUGAUCAGAAGCUUGUAACUGUGACCUUCACUUCUCUAAACAUGCUUCUUGUCACUGAGACUGAUCCAAUCUUUCUUGUCUAACCAUGAAACUUUAUUUCAGAUGACAUCUGGAUGGUUGCAAAUUUCAGUUGAAUGGAAAGGUGUCGGCUUUAUUUUUUCGCUCUGCAUUUUCUUUGUUGUUUAUUGUUUUGAUCGUUUCACCCUGACAAAAGAGUGAUCUCAAAUAAGUAAAAGCCCAAUAUGGAUGACAUUCAUGCCCAUGUUGACUCUGCUAAACGGAAUCAUGGCUGCUUUUCCAUCGAUCGAGGUUCCACCAUGCGAAGCAAGAACAGACCAAACAAACAGUUCUCCCAUCAGUGUUUGUGGUCGAGCUACUGAGCCACCUUUAAAUGUUUGCCUCGAGUUAGUCACUUGAGCAGAUUAUCCACUGCGAGUUUAUUUUUGGCAGAAUAACCCUUUAAUUGUGUCUUUAUCCCCUCUCACAAUAGCACUUUAUGAGCAUGUUUCCACAAAAUAGCUUAUCUCACAUGAGGCGAGAAGAAAACAGGACUGGAGCUGCUCUGGUUUAAUGAACAAGCAACAAGCCAAGACCAUGCAUAUACCUUUAAAACCAGCGUGUGGUUGUGCCUGUGGAUAGGUGUGUGUGAGUGUCUGCUCGUGACAACACCUUCCUCCCACACAUGCAGUGCACCGCAUUGCAAAUUGGAUGAUGUUUCCAGCGUAGAGGGCAAUCACAGGACAGACAUUUUGCCUUUUCUCAGAAUUACCUUAUGAGGCUCUAGAGGACACCGGUAUGUGGCGGCCACACACAAACCACGCCCUAAUUAACCAUCUCUGGGGUGUAGAGAAAUGCACGUGCUCCCUUGAUUUUUACUGGACUCCCAGGAGGGCUUCUUUCCUUCCUCGGGUUGGUCUUUCUUUGUGUUUACAGUGAGCCUGAUCUGCUGUGAUUUUGCUGCCUUAGCCCUUUUUCACUGUGAGAGCAGGAGAUAAGUGAGCCUGUCUUAGAUGAAGGCCUUGUGGCACACUCGCUUCGUCUCAGACACUGACACAGACAAGCCUUUCUGUCACCAUUUCAUAUUUGGUUUUGUGUCGCCGUCUGUUCUCUGUGGUCUCUUUAAGCUUUGACAUGGUCCUCUGCAGGAAUAGCCUAAAUAUAUAUAAAUUAUUUUCCAUUCAUCUCAUCUGAUUCAAAUUUAACAUAUUUUCCCUUUUCAGGGUUGCAUAAAUUCAUUCAAAGCGGCCCACUCCUUUUUUUUUUAUUUGAUUGCCUGAAGGCCCGAUUUAACUAGAAUGGAUCUAUCCAGUUUCUGAAGACGUCAGACGGAGAUAAGGCUGCAUACAGGCCUUAGAUUGAUUAAAGUGCAUUACUCUGAAAGCAGGGUAGAAAAUCUCAUUGUGAAGACUUGACAUUAUGUACGAGAAGAGAUAUAAGCAGAAAAUCGUUAGUGCCAAGCGUUCUAUAGGAGUAAAUUUUUGCAACGGCAGAUACCAAAAACAACCCUAGCGACUGAAAAGAGCAGAAAUACAGCAAUACUGCAUAUGUAAUUUGUUGAAAAUUUUUUUCAUGAGCAACAGUAUAUUGGAUUAAAAUAGUUUCCAGGUCUGGAAAAAGAAAACUGUAAUAAGUAUAAUUCCAGAAUUUCUCCCUCCUCCAUUCCUUUUUUCCUUCUUAUUUAGACAUUUCUGCUAAUAAGUUGUGGAGAAAUGUUGGACUUUUACUCUUAAUAUUCUGCUAAACAGGACUGAGGAACUGUGAGCCUUCAAAAGAGUCGAAUUUUCACAUGAAAAAUGAGUGGGUACCUUGAGUAUUUUAUCAAAGCUAAACCAAGAUUAAAGGAUGAUUUCUCAGUAUUGUGGCAGACUCUCCAGAAACACUCAAGCAAAGAUUUACUCUGAUGAUUUUUGGCUUUUGACGGAAAGGAAAGAGAAACUUUUGGCCUGUGGCCAGCAUUUCAGCCAUUGACUUUGUGUAACAUUGAUGUUCCUUCCAGGUAAUUGCUUCCACCUUGGGCUCAGACUUCUCAAAGACAAACCUAUUGUAAGAAGGUCAACACAGGAAUUUCUCUGCCUUCACGCAAUGAUAGUUUCAAAUUGCACUUCAGGAUGCUGUGGACUCGAAUUAAAUCUGGUUUACCCUUACAGUAAAACUACAGUUUAGCGUGAGAGUUGCAGGAGCUUCACAAGUGUUUAAUGCUUGUUGUGAGUUAGUCACAGCUGCCAGCUCCACGUUUAUUUAAUUUCAGAUCAGCCAGUGCGUUAUACUAAAGCAGUAUUGUUUUAAGUUGUAUUUUAUACCCUUGAGAGCAUAUGUAAAUAAUCCAGGGAGGUAAAUUAGAUUUACAAAAGUCUUGAUCCAUUUGGUAUGAUAUUCAAAUCAGCUUUUCUAAGCAUUAGCAUUUAUUCACCAUUGCAUAAGUAUGAUCUGUUUUCAUUUGGGAAAUAUCCAUUGCUACAUGCUCUGAACUGUACACUUUCUAAUCUAUUGCUUUGUCUCCCUGCAUGAUGCAGCAAGACUGCUUGAGCUUUAUGGGUUGAAAGCAAAGUUAUAGAAAAGAGAAAGUUUGUCAUUAAUGUCAUGAGAAGCAACUACAUACAUCCUUGCUGCUUUAGUUGGAUUUAAGUAAAAUUAAGGAAAAGUAGCAGUCAGGUACUGCAAAUCAAAUGCAAUUGAUUUAUUGAUAUCCAGCAAUGUUCACUUCGGUUUUUAAAGUUUGUAAGUGUGGAGUAAACAGGUUUUUAUAAGCACAAUGCCAAGAAGGAAUAGAAGCAAUUGUUUGUGGCCAUCACCCUAUUAAGGGUCAUAAGGACAUUUCCAUAUAAUUUGAAGUUCAUUUUACAGUGAGAAUGAUUAUUCACUUGUGUAAAACAUUUAAGACAAUUUUUCCUGGAGUGAACAUCUCAGCGAAAUCAUCACAAGGUUAGAUUGUUCAACACUCAGAAAUUGCAAAACAAAAAACUUAGAUCUCCAUCUCAGACUCUGCAGGCUUUUGUUUGCAUGUUAAAAGAUUCAGAACAGCACAAUAAACAAAUAUAAGUAUUUUUUAAAAUACCAAAUAUUCCACCAAACACCAAUGCAUAGCCACAGAUCACUAGUCUGGGUGCUGCUGGAUUAAUAGCAAGUUUUCAAUCGGCCAUGACUUUAUGAGUCCUGAUCUUUAGUGUCAUAGAAUAGGUGGAGCAAACCUUGGAUGUGAGUCACCAGAAAUGUCUUUGUCUCAAGAUUUUGAGAGGCACGAUAGGAAAAAAGACUAAUGUUUCAGGCCAGUUGAGGCAUAUGGGUCUAUUGAGAAAACUAAACUUACCAAUGUCCUUUGGACAGAUGAAACUAAAGUUCAGUUGUACAGCCAGAAAACAACUGCUUUGUUUGAAGAACACCAAACACAGCAUAUUGGCACAUACACCUCAUACCACUUAGGAAGCAUGGUGGAAGCAUAGUGGUGGAGAAGCAAUGAUUUGGGCUUGUGUUGUACUUACUGGGCAUUGGCAUGUGGGAUUCAUUGAAUGCACUUCAAACCCCAAUGUAUACCAAAGUAUGUCAGAGUUAAACAUCUGUCCAACAUCUAAAGCUUUGCAGGAAUUAAGUUACUAACAGGACUGGGGUCGCAAACACAGCAAAAAAUCUCAAUCAGGAUGACUGACAAAGAGAAGACAAAGCUGUAAAAGAUAAAGAAUGUCCUGAAAAAUGCUACAACAGAAUCUGUGUGUAAGUAGGAUUCUGAUUCUGUGUGGGUUUGCCACUGUUGGAUCACGGAAAGAUUUGCGAAAGGGUUUACCAGACACAUAUUUACAGCAACCCUAGGGAUCAAUGGAGCCUUGAAUCCCCACUUGUAAAAUGUCACUGAAAAUGUCACUGAAACAGAGGACCCCAGAAAGAUAAAGGUUUGCCUCAAAUACGAGUCGCAAUAAUAGAAGAAAUAAAACUUAAAAACCUCAGACAUGAGUAACAGCAGUAAGCUGUUACUUAUUGAUUAAGACAAAUCGAGUGCAAAGAUAUGCAUUCAACAACAUAAAAUGUAGCCUGUCAUUAAAGAAGCAAAAGCACUACAGAAAGUUGAGUAAAGAUCCUGUCUCCUAAUAGUAGCUGUCAGAUUCUUUGCUUUGAGCGUUAAAAAAUGAAUCUGUUUGCGCUCGCUGUGUUGUGAGCCAGAGCUCAGUUAUGUUCAAAGAACAUAAGACUCUCUCUGUCUGUCUGAGAUGGCCUCUCCUGGCCUGCACAAUGCCUGUGAGACGUGGCUGUUUUCCACACUCCCUCAGCCCAGCCCACCAUAGCUCCAGCUUUCUUCUCUUCUUCUGAAGUUUUCUUUCUGGGGAGCAUUUCAAAGGCAGCCCCAUCCCCACCCCUGUCCAGGCUGAAUUUUUCUCCAUUUCUCGCUCUAACGUUUAACGCUCUUUUUUUCAUUCCUAACUCUUCCAAUUUCUUUCCCUUUUUUAUGUUCGCGGUCCCCGUCGGCCUUUCUCUUGGCCCGGUUCCAGGACAGUUGCAAAGUAAAUCACUCAGUUAGCAGGUCCCAUAAGAAAACAGAGAAUUCCAGGGAAUCCUGAGCCUCUCCUGCCUGCUCUUCCCUCCAUUUCUGUCCUGCUGUGAUUCCUGUAUGCUCCAUGUGCAGCGCAUAGAUUUUAGUUUGUGUAAAAGAUGCAAAGCUUGCAUUCACAAAUAGCAUGUUAUAGUUGGAAUACUGAGGGAAGGAUUUUGUGAGCAGGUUGAUCUGUAGAUGCUGUCAGUCACGCUUCAUUCUUAAAAAAAAAACAUUGUUGUCCUCAUUUCGCAAAAAAAA